GGCUGGUCUGCAGAGAGUGAGUUACCUCGAUUGACUGUCCACAGUCAGUUGCAGAUUGAAGCCAAUUCUACACUUUCUCCCUUCUCACCGCUGUACUUAGUUAGAAAA
rnacentral:Y_RNA from 14 species